rnacentral:rRNA from 1 species
UACGGAGGGGGGCUAGCGUUGUUCGGAAUUACUGGGCGUAAAGCGCGCGUAGGCGGACCUGCAAGUCGGGGGUGAAAGCCCGAGGCUCAACCUCGGAACUGCCUUCGAUACUGCGGGUCUCGAGUCCGGGAGAGGUGAGUGGAAUUCCUAGUGUAGAGGUGAAAUUCGUAGAUAUUAGGAAGAACACCAGUGGCGAAGGCGGCUCACUGGCCCGGUACUGACGCUGAGGUGCGAAAGCGUGGGGGAGCAAACAGG